rnacentral:rRNA from 1 species
UACGGGGGGGGCAAGCGUUGUUCGGAAUUACUGGGCGUAAAGGGCGCGUAGGCGGUUCGCUAAGUUGGAUGUGAAAACUCUGGGCUCAACCCAGAGCCUACAUCCAAAACUGGCGGGCUAGAGUUCUGGAGGGGGUAGCGGAAUUCCUGGUGUAGCGGUGAAAUGCGUAGAUAUCUGGAGGAACACCGGUGGCGAAGGCGGCAUCCUGGACCGGCACUGACGCUGAGGAGCGAAAGCCAGGGGAGCAAACGGG